AGGUUUUGAACGAAGACCCGUUUUGAAACAGAGGCCCAAGGUAACUCGGGAACGGGCCAUUCGUGUUUGCUUUGGUUUUGUAUUUCUACGCCGAGUGAUUGGCUUUCAAAAAAACGCGCCAAGCUUUGCCACUUUUUCAACCAAUCAGAAGCUAAACCAAAACCAAUCGCACGUGAAUAUCGUGCGCGUUUUUCCGUACUUCACGACUGCAAGAAUUUUUCAUCAGUUCAUCUACAGGAUUGUUUCUCUCCUUUGUGGUACUUACGGCAUUCAAAUGAAAAUUGCUCAAACGCAAAUUGUAUCCGAAUUCGUCUUUGUAGGUAAAAUUAUAACUUCUAUUUAGUCUACACAUUAGCUGUCAAGCUAGGGGCCUAGAAGGCCUUCUUGUUUGGACUCGCGUUUAGUUAAGUCUAAAUGAGACCAAAACAAGUCAGAAAGAUACCGACUGACAGUAGAGAAAUGCGUUCGAUUUCCCCGGGAUUUGGGGAUGGGGAGAGGGGAACCUGAAAUUACUGAGAUUACAUAUUACUAUGUUUGCCCUGUUACCUUGCAGGGUGCUUGCUCUAGUUGCCCAAGUUCGAUUGUAACUCUAAAGAGUGGCAUUGAAAACAUGAUGCAGUUUUAUAUCCCUGAAGUGGUUGCUGUUGAAGAGGUAGAAGAUGAGGUAGAUGAAAUAAGUAAAACGGAAUUUGAUAAACUGGAAGCUAAACUCGGCGAAAGAGAUGAACCAGUGGGGUCGGACUCGAGCGCUCCGGCAAAAAGUGUUUAGCAAGUCAUAACAAGUUUGUCUCAAGGAGAAGACGUGUUCAGAUCUUCAGGUUACAUUACGACCAGGGUAGAAUUUCUCCUGAAGAAUGAUGUUACAUAGUCAGCAUGUAGGUUGGAAGAACAACGUAGCUGAUCAUACUUAAAGUCACGAACCCUGAAUUUGUCUCAAUUUUGGACUUGAUCGUUAAAGAUAAAUUAAAGUACAUUUUUAUUUAUUGGAUAUAAAUAUAAGACAUGUUCUGCCACUGUGUAGGAGCCAACAACGAGAAAUUUUUUUGCUGACAUCAGGGCUGAAAUGAUUAAGAAUCGUUAUGUACCAUUAUAACCAACUAUGACUUAAGUUUAUGUCGAAAGAUUCAGGAUCAUCUCUUGACGCAUUCUUCGAAGCGUCACCCUAUCCUUCGAAACCAAUAUAAAGAUCGUCACGCAACUCCCCUCUCAACUUAGCAUUGCGUGACUAGCUAGUUCUUUUAAGGUAGGGUGCCGGUUUAACCCAAUUUUGCACUUGAUAGCUUGAACCAUUUAUGCUGACUUAUCAUACCAGCGUUACACUUCCAGUGGCGCUUACUAAUUGCAGGUUGCUUUCGAGCAUGACUGGCUCUUGUGAAACCGUGCUGCAGCAAAGUUUUCAUAAAAUAAAGUUAACAUGAUUACUUUAUUACAUGCAA